rnacentral:rRNA from 1 species
CCCAGACUCCUACGGGAGGCAGCAGUGGGGAAUAUUGCACAAUGGGGGAAACCCUGAUGCGGCGACGCCGCGUGAGUGAAGAAGUAAUUCGCUAUGUAAAGCUCUCUCAGCAGGGAAGAAAAUGACGGUACCUGAAGAAGAAGCCCCGGCUAACUACGUGCCAGCAGCCGCGGUAAUACGUAGGGGGCAAGCGUUAUCCGGAUUUACUGGGUGUAAAGGGGGCGCAGACGGCGAUGCAAGCCAGGAGUGAAAGCCCGGGGCCCAACCCCGGGACUGCUCUUGGAACUGCGUGGCUGGAGUGCAGGAGGGGCAGGCGGAAUUCCUGGUGUAGCGGUGAAAUGCGUAGAUAUUAGGAGGAACACCAGUGGCGAAGGCGGCUUUCUGGACGACAACUGACGCUGAGGCGCGAAAGUGUGGGGAGCAAACAGGAUUAGAUACCCGCGUA